rnacentral:lncRNA from 1 species
GCAUUGUAGGUUUUGUCGUAAGAAGGGUCAUCUUCACACAAUCCCAUGUAAUGAACAAGAAUGGGAUAAAGAGUUGGCUUACAAUCGCCACUUCACACAAUACAUAAAUAAAACAUACAUCAUUCAGAGUACACACAUAGUCCGACUACGGACAAAUCCAAAUAAAAAGAAGAUAACCCAACUGCUAGAUCCCGAUCUUCCCCAACUGGACAUCACUACUGAUCAACAUGAAAAGAAACAUAGAAACGACCAAGUCUCUCGUCGAAACCCCACUUGAGUUCGGCAGCAUCACCUGCGCUGGUAUCCUCGGCACCUGCAACUGUUUUUGUAGUAAUCUGUGAGCCACGAGGACUCAGCAAUCCCAUUACCAUGGGUAACAAGACUAGCAAAGCUUAAUGGGAAAGGAAGGGGUAAAGUGGUGAGGUUGCAGCAGCGGCUAAGCAAGUAUGGUGGCUAUCAUACGCAAAUAAGAGCGAGAAGAGAAGCAAUGGAACGGUCGUCAACUAGUAAUGAACAAGAAGUGAUCCUGAACUCCUAUUUACGCCAAGCAUAACCCAAGGACCGUGUUCUCCUCUCGAACAACCCCGAAAGAGAGACAAUCACAGUUACGCACACGGUUGGUGUAUUUUAGAAAAGAUUACUUCAAGUUUACUACAACCGGAUAUUAACAAAUUCCCAUCUGCCACAUAACCGCGGGCACGGCUUUCGAAAGUUCAAAACCCUGCAGGGGUGUCCCAACUUAGCCCAUGAUAAGCUCUCACGGUCAACGAAGGAUAUUCCUUCUCCCGGGAAGACCCGAUCAAUCUCGGAAUCCCGGUUACAAGACAUUUCGACAAGUUAAAAUAAGACCAGCAAAGCCGCCCGGCGUGUCGACACCCUGAUAGAAGCCGCACGUAUCUCGUUCUCAGUGUUGGAAAUAUGCCCUAGAGGCAAUAAUAAAAUGGUUAUUAUUAUAUUUCCUUGUUCAUGAUAAUUGUCUGUUGUUCAUGCUAUAAUUGUGUUAUCCGGAAAUCGUAAUACAUGUGUGAAUACAUAGACCACAACAUGUCCCUAGUGAGCCUCUAGUUGACUAGCUCGUUGAUCAACAGAUAGUCAUGGUUUCCUGACUAUGGACAUUGGAUGUCAUUGAUGACGGGAUCACAUCAUUAAGAGAAUGAUGUGAUGGACAAGACCCAAUCCUAAGCAUAGCGCAAGAUCGUGUAGUUCGUUUGCUAAAACUUUUCCAAUGUCAAGUAUCAUUUCCUUAGACCAUGAGAUCGUGUAAUUCCCGGAUGCCGUAGGAGUGCUUUGGGUAUACCAAACGUCACAACGUAACUGGGUGACUAUAAAGGUACACUACAGGUAUCCCCGAAAGUAUCUGUUGGGUUGACACGGAUCAAGACUUGGGAUUUGUCACUCCGUAUGACGGAGAGGUAUCUCUUGGGCCCACUCGGUAAUGCAUCAUCAUAAUGAGCUCAAUGUGACCAAGUGCUUGGUCACGGGAUCAUGCAUUAUGUUACGAGUAAAGUGACUUGCCGGUAACGAGAUUGAACGAGGUAUUGGGAUACCGACGAUCGAAUCUCGGGCAAGUAACGUGCCGAUUGACAAAGGGAAUUGUAUACGGGAUUGAUUGAAUCCUCGACAUCGUGGUUCAUCCGAUGAGAUCAUCGAGGAUCAUGUGGGAGCCAACAUGGGUAUCCAGAUCCCGCUGUUGGUUAUUGACCGGAGAGUCGUCUCGGUCAUGUCUGCAUGUCUCCCGAACCUGUAGGGUCUACACACUUAAGGUUCGGUGACGCUAGGGUUGUAUAGAUAUUGGUAUGCAGUAACCCGAAAGUUGUUCGGAGUCCCAGAUGAGAUCCCGGACGUCACGAGGAGUUCCGGAAUGGUCCGGAGGUAAAGAAUUGUAUAUGGAAAGUCAAGUUUCGGCCAUCGGGAAGGUUUCGGGGGUCACCGGUAUUGUACCGGGACCACCAGAAGGGUCCCGGGGGUCCACCGGGUGGGGCCACCUAUCCCAGAGGGCCCCAUGGGCUGAAGUGGGAGGGGAACCAGCCCCUAGUGGGCUGGGGCGCCCCCCAUGGGCCUUCCCCCUGCGCCUAGGGUUGGAAACCCUAGGGGUGGGGGCGCCCCCCACCUGACUUGGGGGGCAAGCCCCCCUUGGCCGCCGCCCCCCCUGGGAGAUCCAUCUCCAGGGCCGGCGCCCCCCUUGGGGGUCCUAUAUAAAGGGGGGAGGGCAGCAGCACCUAAGCUUUGGCGCCUCCCUCUCCCACCCCAACAUCUCUCCUCCUCCGUAAGCGCUUGGCGAAGCCCUGCCGGAGUACUGCUGCUCCACCAUCACCACGCCGUCGUGCUGCUGGAGUCAUCUUCAUCAACCUCUCCUUCCCCUUGCUGGAUCAAGAAGGAGGAGACGUCUCUCCCAAACCGUACGUGUGUUGAACGCGGAGGUGCCGUCCGUUCGGCGCUAGGAUCAUCGGUGAUUUGGAUCACGGCGAGUACGACUCCAUCAACCCCGUUCUCUUGAACGCUUCCGUGCGCGAUCUACAUCAAGGGUAUGUAGAUGCUCUCUUAUCCCUCUCGUUGCUAGAAUACUCCUAGAUAGAUCUUGGUGAUGCGUAGAAAAUUUUAAAAUUCUGCUACGUUCCCCAACACUCAGGACACGACCGGAUGAGUCAAGCUACGAGUAAAACCAGCCCUCAAGUUUCCCCGAGGUGGCCCCGCAGGUUGCUCGGUUCGGACCAGCACUUAGAGAAGCACUGGCCCGGGGGGGCUAAAUAAAGAUGACCCUUGAGUCUGCAGAACCCAAGGGAAAGGUAUAGGUGGUAGGUAGGCAAAUGGUAAAACCAAAGUUGGGCCUUGCUGGAGGAGUUUUAUUCAAGGCGAACUGUCAAGGGGGUCUCAUAAAUCACCCAACCGUGUUAGGGACGCAAAAAUCCGGGAACAUAAUACCGAUAUGACGGAAACUAGGGUGGCAAGAGUGGAACAAAACACCAGGCAAAAGGCCGAGCCUUCCACCCUUUACCAAGUAUAUAGAUGCAUUAAUAAUAUAAGAGAUAUUGUGAUAUCCCAACAUAAACAUAAACCAACAUGGAGCAAACUUCAUCUUCACCUGCAACUAGCAACGCUAUAAGAGGGGCUGAGCAAAAGCGGUAACAUAGCCAAACAACGGUUUGCUAGGACGGGUGAAAAAGGUUAGAGGUUCAUGGCAAUUUGGGAGGCUUGAUAAGCAAGUGGUAGGUAACGCGGCAUAGCGAUAGAACGAAGCAACUAGUAUAGCAAUGAUAGUAAUGAGAUCCAAGGUGACGGUCAUCUUGUCUGAAACCCCGCUAGGAAGAAGAACGAGUCCAUGAAGCAGACAAACGGGCGGAGUCGAACGAAUCCUCACAACUCCGGAACGAAACCGAAGCUAACGAGAGAAGCAAACCGGAAAGGAGCAAACAACAUAGUAAACAAUCAUCACAUAAACAUGGCAUGAUGCACAAUCAAGUAUGAUGCAUGUCCGGUUUAAGGAGGCAUGGCAUGACAAAGUGCACAAAACAAAACUACAAAUUAAGUGGAGCUCAAUAUGCAACGAGUUGCAUAUUGCCGAAACACCACAUUCAAGUUAUUUAGUUCGCUCUUGGUUAUGUACCCAACAAUAUUAAAAGUUAAUUAAACAUGGCAAGGGGUGAAGCAUAAUAAAUCUAUCUAUUUAAGCAAGUUUAAAUGAGGCCGGAAAUAACAAACAACAAGUCCGGUAAAUCCUCAUGUGCAUAUUUUUGAUUUGGUACUGUUCUGCCCUAAAUCAUAUUUUAAUGUUGUUAAACAGUAAAACAAAGUGCAUCAAGUUAAUCUAUGCAUUUUUCCACCCCAUUUACAUAUAAAGUUUAUUAAAAUCGGAGUUACGGUUAUUUAGUUAUGGAAUAAAUCUUUUUCAUGGCAAUUUGAGCAAAUUUAAACAAACAACAUUUUAAGCAUUUUAAACAUGGAUGAAAGCAACAUAUUAUGAAACUAGAUGAAAUUCUAAGCAUUUUACAUAUAUAAUUCAUUUUAAUAUGAUGCACGGAUGUGGAGUUAUUAAUGCACGAACAUUAAGGGGUUUUCUGAGAAACUGCAGUUCCUGGGAAAAUAGCUAAAAUCGCAACAGAGGAAAAAAAACGCAUCGGGCCGAAUCUGGGACGGACUGGGUGCAGGACUGUGGGUGGCUCACCAUGGGCCAAGCCCAGUUCGGUGGGGAGGAGGAUGGGCAGGCCGCGAAGGGGCGCGCUGGGCCUUGGCGCGGAGGAGGCCGACCCGUGGUUGCAGCCCAUGUGAGCAGCCGAAUCGGUCAACAGGCGAAGGGGCGGGCGAGCUGCUG